AUUGAACGCUGGCGGCAGGCUUAACACAUGCAAGUCGAGCGAGCGGCGGACGGGUUAGUAAUUUCUGGGAAACUGCCUGAUGGCGGGGGAUAACUACUGGAAACGGUAGCUAAUACCGCAUACCAUCAGAUGUGCCCAGAUGGGAUUAGCUAGUAGGUGGGGUAAUGGCUCACCUAGGCGCCGAUCCCUAGCUGGUCUGAGAGGAUGACCAGCCACACUGGAACUGAGACACGGUCCAGACGCCUACGGGAGGCAGCAGUGGGGAAUAUUGCACAAUGGGCGCAAGCCUGAUGCAGCCAUGGGGAGUGUGUGAAGAAGGCCUUCGGGUUGUAGAGCACUUUCAGCGAGGAGGCGUUACUCGAAGAAGAAGCACCGGCGAAGUCCGUGCCAGCAGCCGCGGUAAUAC
rnacentral:rRNA from 1 species